AAAUAUCUUCUUGUUUUGUAAAACCACUGACUAUUUAGCUAAAAUGCUGAAAAAUUUUACCACUGCUUUUGUUGUGAUGAGCGCUUCACUCAUGCUGUCGUCUGCUUUGCCGUAUGGUUUUAACAACUUUCGAUCCUACCGUGGGGGUUAUGGAUUUGGUGAUAUUGGCGGUGCUUACAGCAGUUUUCCAGGUUUCGGAGGUGCUUAUUCGGCGUUUCCGGCCUAUGGCGGAAUACCCCAUUCAUACAAUACAGUAAACUAUCAUCGUCAUGUGACGCCGUAUUCAUACAGAGGGCGAGGUUUCAUGAAUAAUAUCCUGAGUGGAUCAACUUUGCCAUCACUGGCUCUUGGAUUUUUAGUCGGAAAGGCAUUAUAACAAUUACCAAAGACAGUUACUGGAUAAUGCCAAAGACCAGGAAGGAGUUAAUGUAUAUUCUUGAAACAAGUUACCAUAAAAUAAAUUAUGUUACAGUUUUAAAUUCUGAGAAAAUAAAUAACAAUUCAACCAA